CCUCCUAAAGCCUCUUGCCCUAAGGACACCCUUAAGCUUGGGGUAUGUGGCGAUUUGUUGAAUGACUUGUUGCACCCUGUUUUGGGGACCCUACCAAAGACCCCUUGCUGUAGCCUCAUUGUGGGUCUUGCUGAUGUUGAUGCUGCUGUGUGCCUUUGCACUGCCAUUAAAGCCAACGUUUUGGGCAUCAAUCUUAAUGUGCCAGUCUCCUUAAACUUGCUUUUGAAGUACUGUGGUAAGUCUGUCCCAAAAGACUUCCAAUGCACCUAGGGGUGCCAUGACCUUCUCAUCUAGUGCUGCCCUUCCCAAAGCUUUGUUGGAAUGAAAAACAGACCACUAAUCUUUGGCGUUACUCUGUAAUAUAUUAUGCAUGUUUCCUUCGAAAUGUAGCUGAAAUCUAGAGUGUUCUCUCUUAGGAAUGUUCAUACGUUUCCUUCAAAAUAAAAAUAAAAAUUAUGCAUGUUUCACUCUUGAGUUGGUGGUUUUUAUUAGGACUUGUCCAAUAUAAAUCCCUACAUUUUCUAUUUCCUAGACAUAUAUCCAUCAUUAUAUAAAUUUAUGUGUAAAACUCAAUUUCAAAUUUAAAUGACCAGUAUGAUACAAGAGGUCGUAGUAUUCCUAUAUUUUUACAUCGUUGCCACCAUACUUCAUAUUUUAUUUAUAAUUUAUUUCAAGCAUUUCAUUAACUGUUAUAAUUGUAAUUAAUACUCCCUAUUAAUAGCAUAUCAUCAAUCACUCCAUUUCUUUUGGUUGUCAUGCCCUCUCACUCGCCCCCUAAAAUUGCAAACCCAAAAAAAAUAAUAUGUAAAUUACAUAUCCAAUAAUGUACCUAUGAAAAAUAUAAGGGGUUCUUAGAUCUAGGUCCAAAACGAUUAGCUGGUAUUGGAUUUAGUCCACGUGUUUUUAGUUUUAGAUGUAGGUCCUUUGACUUUUUUUUUUCUUUUUUUUUUUUGACUUUUUUUUCUCUUUUUUUUUUUGUCGAUUUUACCCUUUGAGGUAAAUAAGAAAAACAUAUUGAAAAUCUAAAUUUAAUGCAUAAUUUCCUUGAAAUUGAAUUUUGAAUUCUUUCCUUGAUAAUAUUUACCUAAUAUAUACCAUUUAAUCAAUAAAAGACAGACCCACAUAUUAUACCUAUGCGAUGGAUAAUAGGACAAUAUAUCUAUAUCAUUACCUAUAAGUAAGGUGGAAAAAUAAACAAGCAGAAUAUUAAAUUACCUAUGACUUAGGUGCAUAAAAAUAUAAGUCGGACAGUAUAUGCUACCUAUAUCUCCGGUACAUAAAAAAGAUAAGUGGUAAAGUGUAUGUUACCUAUAACUUAGAUACAUAAACAAAAAGGCAAAAAAGUGUGGUACCUAUAUCUCAUGUAUGUAAAAACACAAGUCAAUUAAUACCUUUUUUUUUUUUUGUUAAAGGAAUAUGUUACCUAUCAUUUAGAUAUAUAUAUAUAUAUAUACAUAUAUAUAUCAAAAAAAUGUAUUACCUAUAUCUCAGGUAUACUAUACUUAAAAGAACAACUAUAAAGAACAAAAUGACCGAACCUCAUUCAAAGUUGAGCAUAUAUUCAACAUAAAAUAAUAAUAAUAAUAAUAGAAGAAGAAGAAGAAGAAGAAGAAGAAGUCGAUACUAUGACUGCAUAGCAAAUGGAUAUUAGACCAUGCUUUAGCUGUCAUUUGUGCUUUGAGAUGAACCCAAACUCUGAAUCUCCAUUAUUUUCUCAUCUAUUUUAACUAGUGUUUGGCUUCCUUUGAUUACUAAACUCACUCCAUUAUUUCUUUCUUAUGUCAAUGUACAACAUUUAAAAAUGAAAAAAAAAAAAAAAAGUCUUCCUAAUUAGGUGCUUUACUUACCAUAAAUUUAGUAUUUUAUUAUAAAACCACCAUAAAAAUUUGCUGCAGUUAAUAACUUCAUUAUUUCUUACGUUUUAUAUGCUCAAGGGAAAAUUGGAUAAGGAAAGAAAUAUAAUAUUGGCUAAUUAUCUCAUUAAGGUAAGUAAUCUAAGAUAAUGGGCAAUAUUGGAACAAAAAUUAAUUUUAAAAAUAUAAAAAUCAAAAUAUUACAUCAUAUAAUAUUUAAAGAGUAAUGCUAUACUUACCACAUUUUUAUCCCACAUUUCUAUACCAUAUGAUGUGGCAUGUCCAUAUUAUACGCCACAUCAAUUAAAUAAAUGAAGUGUAUUUUAAUAAAUAAAAUUAGAGAAAUGGAAACUAGUAUUUUACAUGAUUUGGUAUGUACACAUCAGCUGCCACAUCAUGUGGUAUGAAAUUGUGGUAUAAAAAUGUGGUAAGACUAGUAUUAUUCAUAUUUAAAAAGGAAUGUAAUCCUAUGUGGCACAAAAGCACAUGCACAUUUCUAUAUAUGUAUAUAAGAGAGGAAAACCUCGCCACUAAGUUUUCAUCCAUCAGAAAAAUAUCAGAGAACCAAGUCUUAGUUUAGACCUCUGAGUUCAUCUUUUCCUUGUUAUUUUCUUCUCUUCUUUUAUCGUUGCAAAAAAUCCAACAUGGUAUCAGAGCAUAGUUCAAGAUUUAUUUUGCUGGCUGUAUGUGUUAGAAAAGAGAGGGACAAAAUCCCCACUAGCCAUGACAGUUCAAGCAGAAAUGGUGUCAUUGAGAAAGCUAUGAAGAAGGGCAGCAAGAAAGGAGCCAAUAAGCUUCAUCCUCUGCAAACACCUUGAAUAAGAGAAGCUAAAAUAAUAAGGCAUUGAAGAAGAGAACAACUCUCUCAUGUUAGAAUUUUUUUUUUUCCCAAUCAAUUGGGUGGUUGGUAUUACUAGCAUCUUUUCCAUUUGCGACUCACAACAUUUUAGUUUAACAGAUUUAGUCUCAUGUCUGCUCCACUGGCAAAAACAUCCGAAAGAAAUAUUCAAAGCCCUGUGGUUGAAUAUUUGUUUCUUUGCUAAUAUGCUCUCUCUCUCUCUCUCUCUCUCUCUCUCUCUCUCUCUCUCUCUCUCUCUCUCUCUCUAGCUAGGAAUCGUGAAGCUGCUAAUGCUACUCUCCUUAUAUUUUUAAGUAGCGAAAUGCUAAAGAAACCCUAAUGUAUUAUUUAUCUUGUGUUGGAUGAUCUUUCCAUCAUGAAGAAGUCCUUGCAAAUCCCAGAAAUAAGACCCAACUACAUGAGAUAGAGACAUCUUUUCCUGAGGCCAGGUGAUGACAUGCCUAAUCAAUCUAUUAGUAUUCUAAACUUGGGAUUUCUUACCUAAUUAAUCCCAUCAGAAUACAAUAGCAUAUACAUGAGUACAAAUUGUGGUACCCAUAAGUGCUUAUGACUGUCCAUACACAAGGACAUGAUACAACUUAUGGGUGCUUCCCUAAGAGCAACUCGACCCCAAAGGGUAAGGGCAAGGAAAAGGCAAGGCAAGGUUUGACACUAUUCACUUGAAUAGUGGCAGCCUUGCCUUUUUUGGUUCCACCCCAAAAGGCAAGGGCAAGGGCAAACACUAUUCACUUUAAUGUAUUUUCUAUUUUUUAAACUUAAACCAUUAAUUUUGAUAAGGUUCUUAGAUAAUAUUUUCAGUUGCCACGUGUCACUAUUUAUUAUAAACAUUUUAUAGUAAAUUUGGCUUACACCCUUCAAAUUCAACUUACCUUACCUGCAACCCUUCACUUUUUGUUCCUAUAAAUAAUACCCAAUUUUAAUGAGUAAAAACCCAUGACUAGGAUCCAACUCAUUAAGUUACCUUAUUAAGCUCAAUUUCUGAUUUAUUAUAAUUUUUUGAUUGCAAUUUUAGGGGCUAUAUGUUAAGGGAAUGGCAACGGAAAGAAAUGGGGUGAUUGAUAUGCUAUUAAUAGGAAGUAUUAAUUACAAUUAUAGCAGUUAAUGAAAUGCUUGAAAUAAAUUAUAAAUAAAAUAUGAAGUCUGGUGGCAACGAUGUAAAAACAUAGGAGUACUAUGACUUCUUAUAUCCUAUUGGUCAUUUAAAUUUGAAAUUGGGUUUUACACAUAAAUUUAUGGGCUAACAUCAUUUUACCCUCUCAAAAUUUGGGGUUAUUCUUGAAAUGGGCCACACUGUUUUAAAUUUGUCAAUUUACACCCUAAUGUUUUAGAAUUUGACCAAUUUACACGUUCCGUUAAUUUGACCGCUUGGUCUUUCGUUAAGUGAUGACGUGGCAAAUGUGGGGUCUACCUUUUUAGCUUAGGUGUAAUAAAAUAUGUAAAAAAUCAUAUUAAAAAAAUUCUUUACUUUUUAAGUUAAUUAAAAUCAAUUAUUUACAACCCAAAAAAAAAAGGGAGCUUCACUAAUAUACCCAAAAUAGGGGCUGAAAUUAUAAAAAAAACCCCACAUGGAUUGCACUUUAGAAACACACCCAAAACUCAUUUACUACAUAAAAAAUUAGUUUUUAAGUUCUUAUAAAUUACAUGACUGUCAUUGAUCAAUUUAAAAAAGAAGACCAACACAAAAAACUUAAAUAGCACCCAAAACAAGCCCAACCCAAUUUUAUAAAAAAACCCAAACAAUUCAUUACAAACAAAAGGUCUUGAAAACCGUAGUUUCAUUAACGUGUCAUGUUAAUUAAUCAUUGUAAUGUUCUACUCCUUUAUUGUCAUGUUGAUUAAUUGUUGUAAUGUUCCAGUUUAGGGUAAUAACACUGCUAUGUCAUGUUGAUUAAUGGUUGUAAUGUUCCAGUGUAGAGUAAUAACACUGCUAAUUUCCUAUAACAUCCUAUUUCUAAUGCAUGUUUACCCCUGUACUGUUCCAGUGUAGGGUAAUAACACUGCUAGUUUCCUAUGAUAUCCUAUUUCUAAUGCAUGUCUACCCAUGUAAUGUUUCAGUCUAAGGUAAUAACAUUGCUAGUUUAUUGUCAUGUUGAUUAAUGGCUGAUGUUCCAAUCUAGGGUAAUAAUAUUGCUAGUUUAUUGUCAUGCUGAUUAAUGGUUGUAAUGUUCUAGUUUAGGGUAAUAACAAUACUAGUUUCAUAUGACAUCCUAUCUCUAAUGCAUGUUUACUCUUGUAAUGUUCCAGUACAGGGUAAUAACACUGCUUGUUUCCUAUGAUAUUCUAUUUCU
rnacentral:lncRNA from 1 species